rnacentral:rRNA from 1 species
UGGGGAAUUUUGGACAAUGGGCGCAAGCCUGAUCCAGCAAUGCCGCGUGCAGGAUGAAGGCCUUCGGGUUGUAAACUGCUUUUGUACGGAACGAAACGGUCUUUUCUAAUACAGAAGGCUAAUGACUGUACCCACAGAAGAAGCCCCGGCUAACUCCGUGCCAGCAGCCGCGGUAAUACGUAGGGUGCGAGCGUUAAUCGGAAUUACUGGGCGUAAAGCGUGCGCAGGCGGUUAUAUAAGACAGAUGUGAAAUCCCCGGGCUCAACCUGGGAACUGCAUUUGUGACUGUAUAGCUAGAGUACGGCAGAGGGGGAUGGAAUUCCGCGUGUAGCAGUGAAAUGCGUAGAUAUGCGGAGGAACACCGAUGGCGAAGGCAAUCCCCUGGGCCUGUACUGACGCUCAUGCACGAAAGCGUGGGGAGCAAACA